GAGGAGAGAAAAUUAAAUUAGUGGAAACGAGCAUGUGUUUUCUAAAAACAAACAUUUAGAUUCGUUAUUGAUGGAUUUAAAAAUACCCCACAUAUGUCAUCAAUAAGUCAUGAUCUAAUUUUUGAAUCUAUAAUAAGGAGGUUGAUUUGCAUUCAGUCAAAGGAGRUUUGACCUGACUUACUGCUAAUGAUUGCUCUUAGGUGAUAAAUGACUAAGUUAAUUGAAUCUUUUCUGCAGAAGGAGCCUUCUUCUUAUUUCUAGGCCAGACUUCUUCACAAUGGGAGCUCACUAAAUACAACUGGCAUCAAAAUAAUGUUAGAAAUACGUCGCAAAUAAUCUAUGAUGGCUUUACAGUAAGUGCAUAGAGGUGCGUGAGUUUAAGCAAUAUCAUUAGUGUAAGUAAAAGGUUUAAUCCAUUAACAGUGGAGGUCAUUCAAAGAGCCUGGCAAAAUAAAACACUUGUCAUUUUCCUCAUGASAGACAUAAACAUUAGCUUGUCGCUGACUUACAGGCAAGUCCAUUAACCUCUGUGUGYGCCCCUUGUCUUGAAUACACACCUUUUUCUUUUUUUAAGAAUUAUUCAAAGCUCCAGAAUGUGCACCUCGGCCUCAAACAAAUCGUUCAGGUCUAUUGGAGGAAUAGGGGAGGGGUUUCCAUGACAGCACGAGGCAGAGAUCUUGGGGUGCRGGGUCCCAGGUAAUGAGCAAAAAAUAUUGGAUGGAGGAAAAGUGGGGUAAGGGUGGUGGAUGGUGGUGGGAAAUGGUGUAGAGAGUCGAGAGAGCAUAGCAAAAGCUUACGUGGAGCAGAGGGAGGGGUCCUGAAUGACUGUAAUGGUGAUAAAUGUCUGAAGGCGAUUCAGUGGGGGUGAAAGUGAUAAAUGGAACAAAAAAAUGGAGAGUAUAUCUCUCUGAAAGAAGAGCUGGACUCAGCCAGAUUAAAUUUAAAGAUAUACAAUAUGCAAACAUGUAAAUCUUUUGUUUUCUUUACCUUGAAGUCCUGUUAGUGCCUCUUUAAAAUACUGCACACACCCCUACAGAAAACUGUCCGCUCCAUUUGAAAUGUUACAGAGAGCGUGUUGAAUACUAAAUACGAGAGAAGGCGGGGUGCAGAGGAUAACAGAGGACAUGAUGGAUGUGGAUUACCAAUGGCAGCAACAACAAGAAAAAAAAAGAUGGCAUCUUUGUGGAGAGCAGAGAAUAUUUAUUUUGUUUUAGCGUGUUCUCAAAGGGAACUGAGGCUGAAUUAUUUCUGAGGCAGCCGACAGCUUCAUCUCAGCACACUUCUCGGUACAGAGUGGAGAUCAACAUGAACUGGUAGAAACUAGUCAACGUCUAGAAUUCUCGUUAGCAAGAGGAAAGGCUAUAGGGUUGAAGAAAAUAAACAAAGAUACAGGGAGGAAAAAUGUUUUAAAAAGAGCUGUGCUACUAAAUGCAAGGGGAAAAAUGAAAGACUCUGAGAAAUGGCUGCCAGUUWUAGCAGGAAACAUUUGGUGGUCUGCUGCAGUCCCAUGACUAAACCAUUUUACCACUGCAGAGCUGAUGGAAGCAAAAGGCUGGACUUCAUCUCAUCGCAGAUUAAACUGAAGCAGCAGACAUUUGAAAUGAUCACAUUUCUCCUCCGUGUUGGUCAGCUAAACAAGAACAUCCACAAUCAGCAAAAAAUAAAUAAAAAAAACCUGCCUGCUGUCCUAAAGGAAUUGAUCAAGAUGAAUUCAGCAAAAGCAGCACACUCCAGGUGAACAAACCAUCUUCUGUUGAAGCCCGUCAGCACAGCUGGUAGUGCUGACAAGUUAAAAUAAGGCCCUACUCUUUCAAAUCUAUUCCCUUUGGAAAUUAAGCAAACAUUUUAACAAUGUAUUAUAAGCAUAAUUAAUAAAGGAAGUGUCUGAAACAAAUAGCAAGUUAAUUAUUUAAAGGUAGCUUUUAAGGAGGGAGGUGUGUUUGAUGUAGAUGAAAAAGAAAUAUUUUGAUUUACUUAAAGUAUUAUGUGUGAUUUGCCAUUUUUUAGUAUGUGAAUAUGUUUUAUGAUACAUCUACUGUUCCACACUCAUCUCAGAACUGAUGAUGACCUUUUAAAGCUUUUAACCUUUACUAUUAGAGCCAGUGUUUCCUCAGACAGGUGUCAACUCUGUUCAGCACCGCUCAGUGUGAAAGACAGUGGUGUGUAAUUAGCCCUGACGAUGGAACCCAUCACAGACUAAUAUUUGUUCUGCCUAUGAACUGCUGCUUCCUCUCAUUUGCUUUGAAGCUGAUGUUAGAAACAUCCGUCACUCUUCAGCUGUCAGAAAGAAAUGUUUGAGGCUUUUAUUCUUUUAAAUGUUACAUGCGCACACCAUGUAGUACACAAUUUGUUUCAAAUCGUACAGAGGACUAUGGAAAUGUAAUUGUGGUUGAGAAAAAAAAACAGAUUUUGAUUUUGAGUAACUGUGACAUUUUCACAAAUUGGACAAUUAGGCCUUGUGUCCACACAGAAAUUAUGCUUUAGGAGCACAAAAAAUGUUCUUUUUUGAAAACUGACUGUGUCUAAAUGCAACCUUUUUAUUGAUGAUGUCAUAGCUCCGCCUCCAACCUAGCACACCUGGGGGGUGGGCCUCAUUUACUUGUGCUCACAUUUUACAGGUUUUCUGGACAUGCUCUAGCUUGCUUCCUGUUUUUGAUCUAUUUUGACCACAUACAGGACUGGCUACAGUAGUUCUAGUGUUUYUGGUUGUUUUGUGUAGAAGAAGACCUUUCUAGGUGGAGCCUGAACCUCCCUAUAACUCUCCUACUGUCUCCAUUUUCAAAUCAUGCAUUAAAACUCCUUUUUUAAGAAAUAUAUUAAGCUGAACCAACUUAUGCUACCUUUUUAAAGUUAUGUUAUGCAGGAUGUUUWAUUAUUUUGUUUUCUACUAUGUUGUAUUUUUAUCGUGUUCUUGAGUGCUAAGAAAGGAGAAUCCAAAUAAAAUAUAUUAUUAUGAUUAUGGCGUAAUUUUUGUGUGUUUUUGCACCUGAUUGAUUGCAUCCUGUUUGACAUCAACACAAUUUUGAUCAAAGUCAAGCCCUAUAUUGGUUAGGAGAAAAACUGGCAUGCUCACUUAUACAGRCUCACUUAUAGCCUGUACAGUCUACAGAGCUGGUUUUCUUGUUAACUCCUACACGUCACCUCUAAACACUUGAAGGAACAGUGGCCUUACCUGGAAUAUUUCUUAGCAAAAAAAAGAAGAAAAAAAU